CUGUCCAUCUGUGUCUAUCUGAAGUACUGUAUCUACCCUGAAGAAAAUUUCAAGAAGGCUGAGAAUCACCUCUGGAGUUUCAUCAUUCAUGGAGUUCCACUCCAAAUUACCUGCAUGUAUUGUCAUUCAUUACUUUGAGGAAGCAGGGGAAGUCUGCUCCUGUGAUUGGUGGGCAAGAGACAUGUGACUCACACCUGCCUUCUGCUGAGCUUGCUCUGUGUGAGGAAGCAAGAGAGAGAAAAUGGCCGAUGGAGGGAGAAAGCAGCAGCAGAAUGGAGGCGUUGCCCCAUCCCAUCAGCCUCCAUCUCCAGAUCUGCCAGGCAUCAGCUCCUUGCUCCAAGGGCCUGCGCUCUGUUCCUUCUGAUCUGAGCCUCCCUUGCUCAGAUAACCCUGCUGUUCGAGAAACAGGUCUUCAAACAAAAGUCCUCUUGGGUGCACAGAACCAACUGUAUUCUGACUGAAGUGUCUUCUUUAUUUGGCUGAGAUCCAGAAUUUUGUUUUGUUUUAAAAAUGGUACAUGUUGUGGGUGCUGUUAUAUUGGUCCCCAGGAAUCAUCAGUACAGAACAAGCAAAGCAGCAUCAUGUUCCUGUUAUCGUAAGAGUAUACAAGCUUUUCAACACAAAAUAACUUAAAAAACCCUGUCUUGCUUCUAUUAUGGAUGCCUAUCAUGCAUAUGGAAAUAGUG